rnacentral:lncRNA from 1 species
UUAUAUAUAUUUUCACUACUUUCUUAAUUUGUGUAAAAAAUGUCAAAGUGACACUUAUUCAGAAAUGGAGGAGAGUAUAAUGCUAUCAGCACAAUUAAAGUUUCUUUGCAAGCGUCAUUUACUUCACUGCUAAGUGUGUUUAGGGAAAAAUGAGGAAUGUAAUUGUUGACUAUUAGCUACGAGUAAUUUAAGUCAGGCCAAUUAUCGAGAUACACGUGUAGUGGGUUUCUUCCAUGUACCGAUCAGUUUGCAAGUAAUAGAUUUCGUUAUGAUAUUUAAGGUAGUUAUCUUGGUUUUUUUUUUUUUUUGUAAAAAGCUUUGCUAUUUAAAUGCGUGAGAAAGAAAAGUUUUACAAUUUAAUACCCAGUAGGCCAAAUGGCCUUACAUUUCCAAAAAGAUACAGACUUGAAUCAGAGAUUUAGUGAAAACAGGGGAUCUAGAGUCAGGUAGAAAACCAUAACUGGAGCAGUGAGGAGGAGAACUAUG